UGCAGCCGUGCCACCCUGAGCACACCCGAUCUUGUCUGAUCUUGGAAACUAAGCAGCAUUGGGCCUGGUUAGUACUUGGAUGGGCGACUGCCUGGGAAUGCCAAGUGCUGUAAGAU
rnacentral:rRNA from 1 species